ensembl:ncRNA C04H4.5 ncRNA
UCCUCCCACUCGAGAAUUCGGAUAGGCAAGAAGUAGAAGUAGAAGAAAAGAAGCAAGAAGAGAGUCUCGUUGUCGAUAUUGAAUAAUUCAUAAAGACAUGACAGUGGUAGAAGAA